UCCGUUCUCUCACUGUCUGUGUGUAUUUAUGUUGUAUGGAGAGUGAUCUCAAUCUGUCCAAUGAAAUCAAAUGCUGCACAAAGCUUGGAAAUCUCCUUCAGAGCUGCUGAUUCAUUUCUCCCUAACAAAUAAACAUGUGCUGCUGCAGAAACCACGGUACAGAAAAUGGAUCACAGGGAAUAAUUUACUUUAUGCAAGACCUGAAUACAAUAAACAAAAGAGAAAAGCAUGCCUAGGAGAUAUCAGCACUAUAGAGAUUUCCAGAGAUCUACAAGAAUGACACCAACUCUCAAUCGAAGUAAUUAUGAUCUGUGUUCUCAAAAAUCUGCUUUCUGUAUUCAGCUACGCAGGAUCUCUAAGGACUAUUUCCAAUAUCUUUAUAAUGACAGUACAAAUAUUUUUCAUUGGUAAAUUCUAUGGAGUUCAUUGAGUUUUAAAAAGUUGUCACAGACAUAUUCAACAUGAAUCCUGAAAAGACUUAUGUACUGCCUGUCAGUGAAGAGUGAGGUUGACAGUGUAUAUGGGAGAUUUAUGCAUAACCUUCCUUCCUUGAUGACUAUUUCUUAAUAUAGUUCAUUGAAACACAAUAAUUGGUCAUGAAAAGCCUUCAUGUCUGUGAAACUCCUUUACAUACACUUUUACAGAUAUUGAUGCUUGUAAUGUCAGUCACUCAAUAAAUAAAUGUAUAAAACUACAAUGCAAUGGUCAUUCACACAAGGGUUAUCUCAGUUGCAGAGGAAACAGCUGGACUCCCCUAAUCCAUGUCAGAUAUCAUAAAAGGCCUUAAUUAAUGAUAGCACAAUGGAAAUCUUCUUAAUAUUCCUACUGUAUUCAUAGAGACUAACGCUCGUUCAAUUCUACAUCUCUGUGUCUGCCUAUCUGCCUGUAAGGAAUAUGUCGAAGGACUGUAGGCCAGGCUCUGCCAGCUGUAGACUUAUCUCCUUGCAACAAAUACUGCCAUGGAGAACUUCUGCUCCCUCUGCCACACAGAAACCUGCUCUAUUUAAGCUUUGCUGAUAAUUUUUAUGAAUGAGACGUCAUCAGAAUACGCUCUUGUUCUUCUGUCUCCCAUACCUACUCCCACCAUUAUGACUCCCUCCAUAUUAGAUACCUGUUCUCCUUGACAACCUGUGUGCAUUUAAGUUGUGCGGGGAAUCUGAACCAAUAAGGAGAGUGAUCAUAAUACCACCAAUGAAAGCAAAUCCUUGGGAAAGAUUUGAGAUCUCCUGUAAAGCUGCUGAUUCAUUUCACUCUCACAAAUGAACCUGUAUAGCAGCAGAAACAAUGAUACAGAAAAUGGAUCACAGGGAAGAAUUUACUUUAUGCAGGACCUGUAUAAAAUAAAGAGAAACACAUCACUAGGCAAGUAAUUUGAGCAUAUAACCACCUGUUUGU